UAACACGUAGGGGGCGAGCGUUGUUCGGAAUUACUGGGCGUAAAGGGCAUGUAGGCGGUUCUGUAAGCCUGACGUGAAAGGCUAUGGCUCAACCAUGGCAUUGCGUUGGGAACUGCGGGACUUGAGUCACGGAGAGGGAGCUGGAAUUCCAGGUGUAGGGGUGAAAUCUGUAGAUAUCUGGAAGAACACCAGUGGCGAAGGCGAGCUCCUGGCCGAUGACUGACGCUGAGGUGCGAAAGUGUGGGGAUCAAACAGG
rnacentral:rRNA from 1 species